CGCGUAGGCGGUUUCUUAAGUGAGAUGUGCAAUCCCCGGGCUUAACCUGGGAACUGCAUCUCAGACUGGGAGGCUAGAGUGCUGGAGAGGGUGGUGGAAUUCCACGUGUAGCGGUGAAAUGCGUAGAGAUGUGGAGGAACACCAGUGGCGAAGGCGGCCACCUGGACAGUAACUGACGCUGAGGCGCGAAAGUGUGGGUAGCAAACAGGAUUAGAUACCCUGGUAGUCCACGCUGUAAACGAUGAACACUUGGUGUGGUGGGAGUUGACCCCCGCCGUGCCGUAGCUAACGCGAUAAGUGUUCCGCCUGGGGAGUACGGUCGCAAGGCUGAA
rnacentral:rRNA from 1 species